rnacentral:rRNA from 1 species
AACGAACGCUGGCGGCAGGCCUAACACAUGCAAGUCGAACGCUCCGCAAGGAGAGUGGCAGACGGGUGAGUAACGCGUGGGAACCUUCCUAUUGGUUUGGAAUAGCUCAGGGAAACUUGGGGUAAUACCGGAUAAGCCCUACGGGGGAAAGAUUUAUCGCCAAUAGAUGGGCCCGCGUCUGAUUAGCUAGUUGGUGAGGU